GAAGCUAUAGCUCAGUGAUAUAGCAAAUUUUUCCCAUGCAGAAGAUCUCAGGUUCAAUCCCUGGUAGCUUCU